GAUGAACGCUAGCUACAGGCUUAACACAUGCAAGUCGAGGGACCGGCGCACGGGUGAGUAACACGUAUCCAACCUGCCCUUUACCCGGGGAUAGCCUUUCGAAAGAAAGAUUAAUACUCGAUAUAAAGGAUGGGGAUGCGUUCCAUUAGGUUGUUGGUGAGGUAACGGCUCACCAAGCCUUCGAUGGCUAGGGGUUCGGAGAGGAAGGUCCCCCACAUUGGAACUGAGGCACGGUCCACACUGCUAGGGGAGGCAGCAGUAAGGAAUAUUGGGCAAUGAGGGCUAGCCUGACCCAGCCAAGUAGCGUAAAGAUUGAAGGCUUAUGAGUCGUAAACUUCUUUUAUAUAAGAAGAUGUAUUAUAUGAAUAAGCAUCGGCUAACUCCGUGCCAGCAGCCGCGGUAAUAC
rnacentral:rRNA from 1 species